CCUACGGGAGGCAACAGUGAGGAAUAUUGGUCAAUGGGCGCGAGCCUGAACCAGCCAAGUAGCGUGAAGGAUGACUGCCCUACGGGUUGUAAACUUCUUUUAUAAAGGAAUAAAGUGAGGCACGUGUGCCUUUUUGUAUGUACUUUAUGAAUAAGGAUCGGCUAACUCCGUGCCAGCAGCCGCGGUAAUACGGAGGAUCCAAGCGUUAUCCGGAUUUAUUGGGUUUAAAGGGUGCGUAGGCGGAUUGAUAAAUCAGUUGUUAAAGUUUGCGGCUCAACCGUAAAAUUGCAAUUGAUACUGGCAGUCUUGAGUACAGUUGAGGUAGGCGGAAUUCGUGGUGUAGCGGUGAAAUGCUUAGAUAUCACGAAGAACCCCGAUUGCGAAGGCAGCUUACUAAACUGUGACUGACAUUGAUGCUCGAAAGUGUGGGUAUCAAACAGGAUUAGAUACCCGGGUAGUC
rnacentral:rRNA from 1 species